rnacentral:tRNA from 1 species
GCGCCGCAGCCCAUCCGGUCGGUGGGAGCCGUCUUAUAAGCGGACUGUGGCGAGUUCAACUCUCGCGCGGCGCAC